rnacentral:rRNA from 1 species
CUACGGGCCGCUGCAGUGAGGAAUAUUGCACAAUGGAGGAAACUCUGAUGCAGCAACGCCGCGUGGAGGAUGACGCAUUUCGGUGUGUAAACUCCUUUUAUAUGUCAAGAAAAUGACGGUAGCAUAUGAAUAAGCACCGGCUAACUCCGUGCCAGCAGCCGCGGUAAUACGGAGGGUGCAAGCGUUACUCGGAAUCACUGGGCGUAAAGGACGCGUAGGCGGGAUAUCAAGUCAGGUGUGAAAUCCUACAGCUUAACUGUAGAACUGCACUUGAAACUGGUAACCUAGAGUAUGGGAGGGGGAGAUGGAAUUAGUGGUGUAGGGGUAAAAUCCGUAGAUAUCACUAGGAAUACCUAAAGCGAAGGCGAUCUCCUGGAACAUAACUGACGCCAAGGCGUGAAAGCGUGGGGAGCAAACAGGAUUAGAUACCCGCGUAGUC